rnacentral:lncRNA from 1 species
CUUGUUUCUAGAAACAUCAAACAAGUUGAAGUCCGCACGUCCCAAACUCGCCGGAAUGGGGCCGGAGAGCUGAUUACGGGACAGGUAGAAAUAGAUUUGCUUCGCCUUCAAGUCCCCGAACGAUUCAGGAAUGCCGCCGGUGAGGUUGUUCCGGUCUAACAGCAGGCCGCUGAGCUUCGGCAGCUGAGAGAGCGACGGAGGAAUCGAACCGGUGAGGCCGUUGCGCGACAGUCCGAUGUAGGUGAGCUUUUUGAGGCUUCCAAGGAAAGUGGGACGGGGCCGGUGAGAAGUUCUGCCUGAGAUCGAGGAAGUCGAGCUGCGAGAGCUUGGAAAUGGCUUGUGGGAUAACGCCGGUGGCGUUGCAGUUGUGGAUGGCGAGGUUUUGGAGGUAGGGGAGGUCGCCGACGGCGGCCGGGAUGGGGAGGUGGAGGUUGGCCUUGGAGAGGUCAAAUUGGGUAAUGCGGUUGGUUUUGUCAUCGCAUUUCACGCCGUACCAGUCUUCGCAGCAGUCCGUUUUGGAACUCCAGGUGAUGAUGUCAUACGGGUUUUUCAGGUCUUUCUUGAUUUGGAGGAGGGCUUUUUUGUCAUUUGCGUUGCACCUCUCCGAGAGUGUGAGAGACGAGAGGGAGAGAAUGAGGAGAGCCAAAAUGGGAAGAAUACAAGUCAUUGGUUUGUCCAAUUAUGGAUAUUGGGAUAGAGAUGUGCGAUCUGUUGGGGCUGCUUUAUAAGGAAAUGUGAGGCUCGUUCUUAUUACCCAACUUCGGAUUGCAAUGGUCGGCCAAUUCAAAUUCUAGCUUAAUCUUUGAAUAUGACUGUAAAUGAGUCGAGCCGAAUACUAAUAGGCUGGAGCUCGAUUCUUUUAAAUAUUUGAGUGUUUGAGUUUGACUAGAGCUCGAUUCUAGCUUCGAUUUUGUUAAGUGAACUCGGCUUGUCACCCAGCUACCGAACUUCUAUCUAAAUAAAUUUCUCAUAAUAAUUCAAAUCCCUUAUCUAUUAGUUAGAAGAAAUGUGUCAUAUCGACUAAGCUACAAGGUAUUUAAUAUAAGAAGAGUGUAAAAUCCAUAAUAAAAACCAAAAAUCGAAAACUAAUUGUUGGAGGAUAGUGUCUUAUCAAGUGUGAAGUAGUAUUUGAUUUAUGAAGAGUUUAAAUUUGAGAGUAAGAAAUCCAUAAUAAAAACUAAAAAUCUUAAACUAAUUUUAUGAGCCUUCAAAUUACAUAUUGUGAGAUCAUCAAAUAUACAUUAGCCGCCUAUAUAUGGCGUAGUGAAGUACAGAUUGUGAAUUGGGAGCAGCACUUGAAAAAUAUAAUUACCCAAGUUGUUGCUACUAAUGAGAGUCGCAGCACUUUGGAUGAAAGGACUCAUUAUUGUAUCCACAACUUUGGAUAAUAUACGUUUCAUCCAAUAUUGAAUCAUGAAAUGUGGGGCAUUCGUCCCAAAAGUAGAGCAUGCUCUUGUCGGAGCUAUUUGUCUCAUCAUAUGAUCACUUUCCUAUCCAAGGAUAAAUUAAUUACACAUUUUCGUAUUUAAUAGCUCUAACUAGCUAAUCAUUUUACUUAAUAAUAAAUAACUUCAACAAAUUUUUAUGAAUAAAUUAUUUUAUUUUUUAUGAAAUAUAAUAAGAAUUAAAUAGAAAAAGAAAAGAAAAUAAAAUAUAAAACAUCAAAGUUAAAACUAAAUAAGAAAUUAAAAUUUGAACACCUCCAUCGGUGAUGUCGGAUCAGCUCGUCUGUUAGCAUCAGAGGGUGGCAAUGGGAAUUGGGAUAAGAGAGUCUUUUUUUCCCUUGUUAAUCUUUUUAUUUAGUUUUUUUUUGUUGGAAUUAAACAUUUUAUAAAAAUAUAUUUAGGAUUUCACAUUUUAAAUUAUUUUAAUAUUUGUCUCUUUUCAUUAAUGUGGUAAUAAUAAUACAUCACUACAUCAGAAAUUGAAAAAUAAAAAUAUUGUCGCGUUUGGUGUGGUUUAAGAGACAGAUGAGAUAUAUGUCACGUUUAUUUCAUUAAAGGUUCAGAUGGACGUCACAAUUCAAAUAUCACCGAGCAAUAACCUUGUCAGCCUUGCUUGCAUUUUCUUUCAUAUUUUAAAUUUUUUUCAAGCUAUAUAUCACGUUUUAUUUUAUUUAACUACAUCGUGUCAUUUAUGUUCUUGUUAAUUAUUACAUCCAUCUCAAUUCAAUAGAUCACAUUUUUUUCAUUUGAAUAUUUGAACGUUUCAUUUUAACAAAUGACUCUUAAUUAACAAGAACAUAAAUGAUAAGGGCUCUUAAUUAUAUUCUCUCUCCUACUUUAUUACUUUAAUUAUAUUAUUUCUCAUACUUUAUCACUUUUAUACUACACAUUUAAAACACUAAUCUACAACUCCUUAAUUUUCUUGUCAAAAAGAAAUGACUCAAGAUUCGUGGGACGGAGGGAGUAUAUUUUAAAACAAUAAUGCUACUUUAUAUCGUAUUUUAUUAUAAACUAUUUAUUUUUAACAUUUGUGCCUUGAACUUAUGAUCCGUUAAAUUGAGAGUCUUAGUUGAGAUUUCUUUGAUUUUUUUUUUUUUUGGAUAAAUCUAUAGUAUUAAAUUAGAAUGGAUAAAAUAUAAUAUAUGAAAUCACACUUGCAGCAGUUAUUUUUGUCCAAAUUCUUCUUCUCUCCUUCAUAUUUUCUCUGUUAUUUCUCUAUCUUACACGCUUUCUUACUUGAUGUAUGUAACAUGCUAACUUUUUUUCAUCUCUCUUAUUUUCUUUUCUCCUUUCCCUGUUCUAAAUCUUUUUUAAAAAAAACUAAUAAAUUAAUACUACUACAUUUCUACUUUUAUUUAUAAUAGUAGGAUCCACAAAAUCUACCAACAAUAAUAAUGAUAUCCAAACUCUACUCACUACUAUCAAAUAUUAUCCACUAUUUUUAAAAAUUCGUGUCAUCCACAGGGUGGAGACGAUAUCGUGGACGGAUGGAGUAUGAAAUUGAAAUGAAAAAAAAUUAUAUCUUUCAUAUUUUCUCCGUCAAUUACUCUUAUCUUAGACGCUUUCUUACUUCAUGUAUGUGACAUGGUAACAUUUUUUCAUCAAAGUUUUAAGUAACCGAUAAAUUAACAAUAAAUUUAAAGAUGGCUUUGAUCAAAACAUUAAUCACUUGACUCGUAAAAAAGUUCGGAUUUUUUGAAAGUGGGAUCACCCUGGUCCCUGGAUAUCUCUAACCACCGAAAAUUCAACAUAUCGCUGGCCCUUUAUCAAAUAUCCAAAAUACAAAGUUAAUUUCAUUAAGAAUACAACAUAUUCCAAGAAUUGAGCAAUUUGUACUACAUCAUAUCUUAUUCGAUUAAUAACAUAUGUAAGCAUAAACAAUAAUAUAGUACUCCCUCCGUCCCUAAAAUAACUUCCUCUUUUUCCAUUUUGGGACGUCCCCCAAAUAACUUCCUCUUUCUUUCUUUCCAUUUUUGGAAACCUACCCCACCACUAAUAAUACUUUAUUUAUUCUUACUUUUCACUUUUCACCACUCCCAAUACUAUAACACUUCUCACAACUUCCAAUAAUAAUUAUAUCACUUUUUCUCCACUAUCAAUACACUUUACAACUUUUUAUUAAAACCCGUGCCGUCCCCAAAGAGGAAGCCAUUUCAGGAACGGAGGGAGUAUUAAAUUAGAGAAAAAUCAUUUGCAUUCUGGCAAAGGACUACCGCACAAACACCUGUUGUGAAAAUAGGCCGUAUAAUCGAAGUCCUGCAGCCUGCCGCCGACGGGAAUCCGACCACACAGCCUGUUGUAACUCACAUUCAGCGAAAUCCUAUCAAACUCAGCCAAACCCACGGGCAAGCUCCCAAAAAUCUUGUUAUGGUUCAAAUCCAAGUUCUGCAAAUUCCCCGGAAACUCCACCUUGGAAAAAUCGAACUGCAACAAGUUCCUCGAAAAGUCAGCAGUGUUCAAACUCUUGUUUUUCCCGAACAUGAAGGAUAUGUCUCCUUCCAGCUUGUUUCUAGAAACAUCGAGCAAACUGAAGUUGGUAUAUCCCAAGCUUCUCGGAAUCGGGCCGGAUAGCUGAUUGUGCGACAUGUACAGAUAGAAAUCCUGCACCUUAAAAUAUCCGAACGAUUCAGGAAUGCCGCCGGUGAGGUUGUUCCGGUCCAACAGCAGGCCGCCGAGCUCCGGCAGCUGAGAGAGCGACGGCGGAAUCGAACCGGUCAGGCUGUUGCGCGAGAGUCCGAUGUAUGUGAGUUUUUUGAGGUUUCCGAGGAAAGAUGGGACGGGGCCGGUGAGAAGAUUCUGUCUGAGAUCGAGGAAGUUGAGGUGCGAGAGUUUGGAGAAGGCUUGUGGGAUUUGGCCGGUGGCGUUGCAGUUGUGGAUGGCUAGGUCUUGGAGGUAGGGGAGUUCGCCGAUGGCGGCCGGAAUCGGGAGGUGGAGGUUGGCCUGUGCGAGGACAAAUUCGAUGAUUCGGUUGGUCUUGUCGUCGCACUUGACGCCAUACCAGUGUCGGCAGCAGUCUGUUUUGGGAUUCCAAUUGGUGAUGUCGAG